rnacentral:lncRNA from 1 species
GGGGAUCUUUGGGGUCAACCCAAAACUGGGGGAUCUUUGGGGGUCGACUCCAUCUUGGGGGUCUUCCAGGUUGAUUCCAAUUAGGGGAUCUUUGGGGUCUACCCCAAACUGGGGGAUCCUCUGGGGCUGAUCCCAAACUGGGGCAUUUUAUGGGGUCGACUCCAUCUUGGGAGUCUUCAGGUGGACCCCAAAGUGAGGGAUCCUCUGGGGCUGACCCCCACAUCAGGGCAUCUUCUGGGGUCAACCCAAAACGGGGGGGUGUUCCAGGUGGACCCCAAAGUGGGACGUCUUUGGGGCUGACCCCAAAGUGGGGCUUCUUAUGGGGUCAACUCCACAUUGGGGGUCUUCCAGGUUGACCCCAAAUUGGGGGAUCCUCUUGGGGUUGACCCCAAAGUGGGGGGCUUCCAGGUGGACCCCAAAGUGGGGGUCUUAUUGGGGGUGACCCCAAAGUGUGGGGGGGGGGGAUCUUCCCUCCCAGAGCCGGCGUUCCCUUCCUGCUGCAUUUUGGGCUGAAAAACGGAAAAUUUGGGGCCGGGAGGGGGGGAGGGACGCGCGCUCACCUGACGGGGGGGCGGCGGCAGCGGAGCCCUCGGGGCUGGGGGGUCCCUGAGCGCCGGGGACCGGGGGGAACGGAGCCAUGGGCGGCCACAGCGGGAACAGCCCCGGGGGGAACGGGGGGAGCACCCCCUGCGGGACUGCAACCGCAACACACGGAUCUCAGCCCCACGGAUCCCAGCCCCACGGAUCCCAGCCCCACAUGGGGACCCCACGGAUCCGAGCCCCACAUGGGGACCCCACGGAUCCGAGCCCCACGGAUCUGAGCCCCACAGGGACCCCAUGGAUCUGAGCCCCACGGAUCUGAGCCCCACGGGGACCCCAUGGAUCUGAGCCCCACGGAUCCGAGCCCCACACAGGGACCCCACGGAUCUGAGCCC